rnacentral:rRNA from 1 species
AAACUUUUAACAACGGAUCUCUUGGUUCUGGCAUCGAUGAAGAACGCAGCGAAAUGCGAUAAGUAAUGUGAAUUGCAGAAUUCAGUGAAUCAUCGAAUCUUUGAACGCACAUUGCGCCCCCUGGUAUUCCGGGGGGCAUCCCUGUUCAAGCGUCAUUAU